rnacentral:rRNA from 1 species
AGAGUUUGAUCCUGGCUCAGAACGAACGCUGGCGGCGCGUUUUAAGCAUGCAAGUCAAAGGGGCUUAGUGUAGCAAUAUGCUAAGUAACUGGCGCACGGGUGAGUAAUACGUGAGAAUCAAUCCUUGAGAAGGGGGACAUCCAGUAGAAAUACUGGGUAAUACCGCAUAUGCCGAAAGGUGAAAGAGGCUUUUGCCUCGUCUUAGGAUGAGCUCGCGGUCCAUUAGCUAGUUGGUAGGGUAAUAGCCUACCAAGGCGACGAUGGAUAGCCGGCCUGAGAGGGUGUACGGCCACAUUGGGACUGAGACACGGCCCAGACUCCUACGGGAGGCAGCAGCUAAGAAUAUUCCGCAAUGGGAGAAAUCCUGACGGAGCGACGCCGCGUGGAUGAUGAAGGCCGAAAGGUUGUAAAAUCCUUUUAUACGGGAAGAAUAAAGGUAGGAGUGGAAUGCCUAUCCGAUGACGGUACCGUAUGAAUAAGCCCCGGCUAACUACGUGCCAGCAGCCGCGGUAAUACGUAGGGGGCAAGCGUUGUUCGGAUUUACUGGGCGUAAAGGGCAUCUAGGUGGUUAUGUAAGUGUGGAUUUAAAGGCAGAGGCUUAACCUCUUGCAUGGUCUGCAAACUGCAUAACUAGAGUACAGAAGGGGAAACUGGAAUUCCGCAAGUAGGGGUGAAAUCUGUAGAUAUGCGGAAGAAUACCGGUGGCGAAGGCGAGUUUCUGGUCUGUAACUGACGCUGAAAUGCGAAAGUGUGGGAAGCAAACAGGAUUAGAUACCCUGGUAGUCCACACUGUAAACGUUGUACACUAGGUGUUAGAGGGUUAUUCCUCUAGUGCCGGAGCUAACGCGUUAAGUGUACCGCCUGGGGAGUAUGCUCGCAAGGGUGAAACUCAAAGGAAUUGACGGGGGCCCGCACAAGCGGUGGAGUAUGUGGUUCAAUUCGAUGAUACGCGAAAAACCUUACCUGGGCUUGACAUAUACUGGACGGCUGUAGAGAUACAACUUCCCUUUUGGGCCGGUAUACAGGUGCUGCAUGGCUGUCGUCAGCUCGUGUUGUGAGAUGUUGGGUUAAGUCCCGCAACGAGCGCAACCCUUACCACUAGUUGCUAUCAGGUAAUGCUGGGAACUCUAGUGGAACUGCCGGUGACAAACCGGAGGAAGGUGGGGAUGACGUCAAGUCCUCAUGGCCCUUAUGUCCAGGGCUACACACGUACUACAAUGGGCUGUACAAAGGGUUGCAAUAUCGCGAGAUGGAGCCAAUCCCAAAAAACAGUCCUCAGUUCAGAUUGGAGUCUGCAACUCGACUCCAUGAAGUUGGAAUCGCUAGUAAUCGCAGAUCAGCAUGCUGUGGUGAAUACGUUCCCGGGCCUUGUACACACCGCCCGUCACACCACCCGAGUCGAAGAUACCCGAAGUCAUUACCCUAACCGCAAGGGGGGGGGUGCCUAAGGUAUGUUUGGUGAGGGGGGUGAAGUCGUAACAAGGUA